AUUGAACGCUGGCGGCAGGCCUAACACAUGCAAGUCGAGCGGAUGAAGGGAGCUUGCUCCUGGAUUCAGCGGCGGACGGGUGAGUAAUGCCUAGGAAUCUGCCUGGUAGUGGGGGAUAACGUCCGGAAACGGGCGCUAAUACCGCAUACGUCCUGAGGGAGAAAGUGGGGGAUCUUCGGACCUCACGCUAUCAGAUGAGCCUAGGUCGGAUUAGCUAGUUGGUGGGGUAAAGGCCUACCAAGGCGACGAUCCGUAACUGGUCUGAGAGGAUGAUCAGUCACACUGGAACUGAGACACGGUCCAUGCUCCUGCGGGAGGCAGCAGUGGGGAAUGUUGGACAGUGGGCGAAAGCCUGGUCCAGCCAUGCCGCGUGUGUGGAGAAGGUCUUCGGAUUGUAAAGCACGUUAAGUUGGGAGGAAGGGCAGUAAGUUAAUACCUUGCUGUUUUGACGUUACCAACAGAAUAAGCACCGGCUAACUUCGUG
rnacentral:rRNA from 1 species